rnacentral:rRNA from 1 species
AUUGAACGUUGGCGGCAGGCCUAACACAUGCAAGUCGAGCGGAGCGGCGGACGGGUGAGUAAUGCCUGGGAAUCUGCCUGGUAGUGGGGGAUAACGUCCGGAAACGGGCGCUAAUACCGCAUACUAUCAGAUGAGCCUAGGUCGGAUUAGCUAGUUGGGGGGGUAAAGGCCUACCAAGGCGACGAUCCGUAACUGGUCUGAGAGGAUGAUAAGUCACACGGGAACUGCAGCACGGUCCAGACUCCUACGGGAGGCAGGAGUGGGGAAUAGUGGACAAUGGGCGAAGGCCUGAUCCAGCCAUGCCGCGUGUGUGAAGAAGGUCUUCGGAUUGUAAAGCACUUUAAGUUGGGAGGCGUUACCAACAGAAUAAGCACCGGCUAACUUCGUGCCAGCCGCCGCGGUAAUUC